rnacentral:rRNA from 1 species
UGCAAAAUUUUCUUUGGAUUCUAUAGAAAUUGGUCCUUGAGUGUAAAGAUAGAAUGGAGCUUGAUUGCAAGACCCAACGAUCGAGGAUAGAAGUCAACUUUAAU